rnacentral:snRNA from 1 species
AGGCUCGCUUCGGCGGGU